AACGCACGAGACCUGCGGACCUGCGGAAGGAUCAUUAACACUCGAACAUCGAACUGUUUUAUCAGUGAGUUUGGUUUUUUUUACCAUGCUCACUGGUAAGACAUGCACCAAUUGUGGUUUGUUAAAGUUUUUAACAGUAAUAUUACUGUUUUUAAAUAAACUCUUUCACUUUUAAGACUUAUUAUUAUUUGUUUGAGAUUGGUAUUUACUUACCUUUUUCAAAUGAAAAAAACAUUUCUU
rnacentral:misc_RNA from 1 species